rnacentral:rRNA from 1 species
GAUGAACGCUGGCGGCGUGCCUAAUACAUGCAAGUCGAGCGAACAGACGAGGAGCUUGCUCCUCUGACGUUAGCGGCGGACGGGUGAGUAACACGUGGAUAACCUACCUAUAAGACUGGGAUAACUUCGGGAAACCGGAGCUAAUACCGGAUAAUAUAUUGAACCGCAUGGUUCAAUAGUGAAAGACGGUUUUGCUGUCACUUAUAGAUGGAUCCGCGCCGCAUUAGCUAGUUGGUAAGGUAACGGCUUACCAAGGCAACGAUGCGUAGCCGACCUGAGAGGGUGAUCGGCCACACUGGAACUGAGACACGGUCCAGACUCCUACGGGAGGCAGCAGUAGGGAAUCUUCCGCAAUGGGCGAAAGCUUGACGGAGCAACGCCGCGUGAGUGAUGAAGGUCUUCGGAUCGUAAAACUCUGUUAUUAGGGAAGAACAAAUGUGUAAGUAACUAUGCACGUCUUGACGCUACCUAAUCAGAAAGCCACGGCUAACUACGUG